rnacentral:lncRNA from 1 species
AUAGCCAGAUCAUCAACCAGUUCCUUGAAGAUGUCACCGCGUGAGACGAAGUCCGUCUCACAGUUAACCUCCAAGAGGACACCGAUUCUGCUGUCGUGGAUAUAGGAACCGAUUCUUCCCUCGGCUGUGGCUCUGCUGGCUUUCUUGUCUGCGCUCGCUAGUCCCUUCUUGCGGAGGUACUCUUGAGCUUUCACCAUGUCGCCUUCGCUCUCCAAGAGAGCGUUCUUGCAGUCCAUCAUUCCGGCUCCUGUUUCUUCUCUGAGUUGCUUCACUAAGGCCGGUGAAAUGCCAGCUGCAACAGAGAGAAGUUUCCCAUUAUAUCAUGAAGCAGAGAUCUACAGAAGCUAAAGAUGAGCAAAAGAAAUACCUUUGAUGCCACUUUCCUCAGUAGAAGCUUCUGUGACUACUGCGGCAGGAGUCUCGGCUUCAGCAACAGGUACUUCGGCCACUUUCUCAACGUCUUCACUUGCUACAGCUUCUGGAGAUGAAACUUCAUCAGGUAUAGCUUCAGCAACAGGUACUCCGGCUACCACCUCCUCCUUCUUCUCAACGUCUUCUGUUGCUACAGCUUCUGAAGAUGGAACUUCAUCAGGUACAGUUUCAGCAACAGGUACUUCAGCCACCACUUCCUCCUUCUUCUCAACGUCUUCGCUUACCACAGCCUCUGGAGAUGAAACUUCAUCAGUAGCUGAACUUUGAGGAAUAGAGUUCUCAGAAACUUCCUCUUCACCUGGUAACGAGUAGAAUAAACGGAUCAAUGAUAUUAAACAUUAAAACCAAUUAACUGAUUUAGUACUAGUAAAAAGGCAACUCAACCUACUUUUGGUUUCUGGAACUGGAGGAACAUCUGGCGUUUCCUCAACCUUUUCCACCUCCUCAACUUCAGCUGCUGCAGCAAGUGUUUCCGUUUGCUCUUCUGUCUCCUCUUCAGCUUUGGUCUCUAUCACUUCUUCUUCUUCUACCUUUGGAGUUUCUGAUUUUGCAUCUCUAUCUCCUUUUCCUUCAUCACAAUCUCUUCUGAAACAUCUUCAGGUACAAGGUACUCUACUUGAGGGCACGCAGCCACCUAUGUAACAAGUCAAUUUAUGUUUUAAGUUACAGAAAAUGAAGAAAAUGUUGUUAGCUAGGAUCUUUGGAGUUACUUACCUGCAUAGCCAGAUCAUCAACCAGUUCCUUGAAGAUGUCACCGCGUGAGACAAAGUCUGUCUCGCAGUUAACUUCCAAGAGGACACCGAUUCUGCUGUCGUGGAUAUAGGAACCGAUUCUCCCCUCGGCUGUGGCUCUGCUGGCUUUCUUGUCUGCGCUCGCUAGUCCCUUCUUGCGGAGGUACUCUUGCGCUUUCACCAUAUCUCCCUCGCUCUCCAAGAGAGCGUUCUUGCAGUCCAUCAUUCCGGCUCCUGUUUCUUCUCUGAGCUGCUUCACUAAGGCCGGUGAAAUGCCAGCUGCAACAGAUAGAAGUUUCUCAUUAGAUCAUGAAGCAGAGAUCUAAAGAAGCUAAAGAAAUACCUUUGAUGCCAGUUUCCUCAGAAGAAGCUUCUGUGACUACUGCGGCAGGAGUCUCAGCUUCAGCAACAGGUACUUCGGACACUUUCUCAACGUCUUCAGUUGCUACAGCUUCUGGAGAUGAAACUUCAUCAGGUACAGUUUCAGCCACAGGUACUUCGGCCACCACUUCCUCCUUCUUCUCAACGUCUUCACUUGCUACAGCUUCUGAAGAUGGAACUUCAUCAGGUACAGCUUCAGCAACAGGUACUUCAGCCACCACUUCCUCCUUCUUCUCAACGUCUUCACUUACCACAGCCUCUGGAGAUGAAACUUCAUCAGUGGCUGAACUUUGAGGAAUAGAGUUCUCAGAAACUUCCUCUUCAC